UACGAAGGGGGCUAGCGUUGUUCGGAAUCACUGGGCGUAAAGCGCAUGCAGGCGGAUCGCUAAGUCGGGGGUGAAAUCCCGAGGCUCAACCUCGGAACUGCCUUCGAUACUGGCAGGCUAGAGUGUGGUAGGGGAGAUCGGAAUUCCUGGUGUAGCGGUGAAAUGCGCAGAUAUCGGGAGGAACACCAGUGGCGAAGGCGACUACCUGGCCUGUUUCUUGACGCUGAGGCGCGAAAGCUAGGGGAGCAAACGGG
rnacentral:rRNA from 1 species